UCGGAUUGUAGUCUGCAACCCGACUACAUGAAGCUGGAAUCGCUAGUAAUCGCGAAUCAGAAUGUCGCGGUGAAUACGUUCCCGGGUCUUGUACACACCGCCCGUCACACCAUGGGAGUCGGAAAUGCCCGAAGUCAGUGACCCAACCGCAAGGAGGGAGCUGCCGAAGGUGGAGCCGGUAACUGGGGUGAAGUCGUAACAAGGUACC
rnacentral:rRNA from 1 species